GCCGCGAGGAGCCGCGCGCCCCCGUGCCCGCGUCGGUCCCUGCGCCGAGCGCCCGCUCCCGGGUCUGAGGGUCCGCCCGGCGCGCCGCUCGCAGAGCAUCCUCAGGGCCGCGCACCUGCCCCACGCGCCCGCCCUGCGCACCUGCCCGCCGCCCGCUCGGAGCUCCCGGCUCCGCGCCCCCCGCUGCCCCGCGACUGCGCGGGGACCCCGGCCGUGCCUCCGCGUCCGCUCCGCGCCGCAGCCGGGCCGGGGCGCAGCGUUGCGGAGGGCGAGGGCCUCCCGGAGCCCGGCCAGGGCCGCCGCGGCGAUGAUGAACAGGUUCCGAAAGUGGCUCUACAAACCGAAGGUGAGCGGCCCGGCUCGGGCCGGACGCCCCCCGCGCCGCGGCCUCUGCCCUCCCAGGACCGCCCGUCUGCCCUCCGAGACUCACUCCCUUUGCCGUCAGUGGCCACGCUCUUCCCCCACCGCCGCCAUCCUUCCCUCCUCUCUGCGACUUGGACAGACCUUCCCCGCCCGGCCCUGGGACGGAUCCUAACCCCUCCCCGAUUCCUAAGCCUGGGGGCAGGACUGACCGUCCUGCUCCUUCGUGCCAGGGCGCACUUUCCCUCCCCCACAACGGCCCCUCUCCCUCCUCACUCCUCAUCCCGCUCCUGGACGGUCCCCUCCUGCACCUCGUUGUCCCUAGCCCGGAGCCGACCUCCUACUACUCCGUCUGCCCUCCCUGCACCAGGGACGCCCCCUCAUUCCACUCCUGCCCCCACCCUCAUCGUCCUGGGCCGGGAAAGGACCUCCCUCCGCACUCCAGAACAAACCCUCUCCCCCCUUCCCCAGGUUCUGAGAGAACCCUCGUUUCCCAAUCUCCGGGUCCAGGGCAGACCCAUCCUUGCGUGUCCAGAGACGAUCCUGAUGGCACUGCCAGCGGCCUCCCUUCCCGAACCAGGACGGAUCCGCUCCUCGCCCCAGUUCCCGUCCCCGCCCCCUCCCUUGACCCUAUCUCGUCCCUUCCCCACUCUCGUCCUCUGGAAUCCGGGACAGGUCCUCUGCCCGGCCCGCGGGGCGAGUGCACCCGUGUCCAGCAGCCUCGGUGGGGCGGGAAGUGUGGUUCCCCAGCGGGCGCCCGCGCCCCUCCUAGCGCCGAGAGGUCGGGGUUCGGGCGGCUGCGCCAGUCGCACUGCGGGCGCUGCGUCCCUGCAGCCCGCCUGGGGAUCGUGUCCGCUGCAGCCGGAGCAGGGCUGGGCGCUCUCGGCACUGGGUCGAGGCACAGCGGUGUUCGGGAUCCCGGCGCUGGGUCCAGGGUGCAUCUGGGGGUCCGAGGGUGGCACCCCCUGGCCGGUGCAGCGGGGAGGCCGGGCCCUGAGAUCUUGGGGUAGGGCACGGGUCGGGUGGGGUCACUGUGGCGACCAAGGGCGGGAGUGGGGCCAGCGCUGCGUCCCGGCAGCUCGGUCGGAGGCCACCGCGUUGCCGACCUACCCCUCCUUCCUCCGCUCACCGCCUGUCCCUGUCCCGAGUCCCCCAGGCCGCCGCCUCCACCGUGGGGGAUCUGUCACGGUGGUGGGGGGUCUCCUGAAAUCCUCGCCUCUUGAGCGCCCAUUCCAGAAGGCGGGAGGUGGGUUUGGAAGAUGA
rnacentral:lncRNA from 13 species